GCCCCUGUCGUAUUAACGGCAAUAUACCGCUUUCGUACAGCGUGAGAUGGAAGUUCGAAUCUUCUCGGGGGCUCUA
rnacentral:tRNA from 1 species